rnacentral:rRNA from 1 species
CAGUAGCCACGGUAAUACGGAGGGAGCUAGCGUUGUUCGGAAUUACUGGGCGUAAAGCGCACGUAGGCGGCUUUGUAAGUCAGAGGUGAAAGCCUGGAGCUCAACUCCAGAACUGCCUUUGAGACUGCAUCGCUUGAAUCCAGGAGAGGUGAGUGGAAUUCCGAGUGUAGAGGUGAAGUUCGUAGAUAUUCGGAAGAACACCAGUGGCGAAGGCGGCUCACUGGACUGGUAUUGACGCUGAGGUGCGAAAGCGUGGGGAGCAAACAGGAUUAGAUACCCCAGUAGUCCCUGUCUCUUAUAC